rfam:Salmo salar isolate Sally breed double haploid chromosome ssa01, whole genome shotgun sequence.
CAAGCUCUUCUCUGUAAGUCACUCUGGAUAAGAGCGUCUGCUAAAUGACUAAAA